UACGAAGGGGGCUAGCGUUGCUCGGAAUCACUGGGCGUAAAGCGCACGUAGGCGGAUUGCUAAGUCAGGGGUGAAAUCCUGGAGCUCAACUCCAGAACUGCCUUUGAUACUGAAGAUCUUGAGUUCGGGAGAGGUGAGUGGAACUGCGAGUGUAGAGGUGAAAUUCGUAGAUAUUAGGAAGAACACCAGUGGCGAAGGCGGCUCACUGGCCCGGUACUGACGCUGAGGCGCGAAAGCGUGGGGAGCAAACAGG
rnacentral:rRNA from 1 species